GGGCCCGCACAAGCGGUGGAGCAUGUGGUUUAAUUCGACGCAACGCGAAGAACCUUACCAGCUCUUGACAUUGCUAAGUCGCGAGUUUUAGAGAUAAAACUCUUCAGUUCGGCUGGACUUAGUACAGGUGCUGCAUGGCUGUCGUCAGCUCGUGUCGUGAGAUGUUGGUUAAGUCCCGCAACGAGCGCAACCCUUGUCCUUAGUUGCCAGCAAUUCGGUUGGGCACUCUAGGGAGACUGCCGGUGAUAAACCGGAGGAAGGCGGGGAUGACGUCAAGUCCUCAUGGCCCUUACGGGCUGGGCUACACACGUGCUACAAUGGCGUCCACAAUGGGUCGCAAUAGGGUAACCUAAAG
rnacentral:rRNA from 1 species